UAUAAAGUAAGAAUUAGUAAAUUUCUUAUUAAAUAACCCUAAAUUAUUCACAUAUAUCUGCCAACUUUAU
rnacentral:tRNA from 1 species